AGUGAACGCUGGCGGCAUGCCUAACACAUGCAAGUCGAACGGCAGCACAGCAGUAGCAAUACUGUGGGUGGCGAGUGGCGGACGGGUGAGGAAUACAUCGGAAUCUGCCCGGUUGUGGGGGAUAACGUAGGGAAACUUACGCUAAUACCGCAUACGAUCGAGAGAUGAAAGCGGGGGACCGUAAGGCCUCGCGCAGUCGGAUGAGCCGAUGUCGGAUUAGCUAGUUGGCGGGGUAAAGGCCCACCAAGGCGACGAUCCGUAGCUGGUCUG
rnacentral:rRNA from 1 species